GAUGAACGCUAGCUACAGGCUUAACACAUGCAAGUCGAGGGACCGGCGCACGGGUGAGUAACACGUAUCCAACCUGCCCUUUACUCGGGGAUAGCCUUUCGAAAGAAAGAUUAAUACCCGAUAUAAAGGAUGGGGAUGCGUUCCAUUAGGUGGUUGGUGAGGUAACGGCCCACCAAGCCUUCAGGGGAUAGGGGUUAUGAGAGGAAGGGCCCCAGCCAGGGAACUGAGGCACGUCCCAAACUCCUAGGGGAGGCAGCAGUUGUGAAUAUUUGUCAAUGGGCGCUAGCCGGAACCAGCCAAGUAGCGUGAAGGAGGAAGGCUUAGGGGUCGUAAACUUCUUUUAUAUAAGAAUAUGUAUUAUAUGAAUAAGGAUCGGCUAACUCCGUGCCAGCAGCCGCGGUAAUUC
rnacentral:rRNA from 1 species